UUCCUUAACAUUUCAAUGAGACAACAAAAAUUGUCAAAAAAACCUAGGCGUGUUACGGGUUAAAAAUAGAUAUCCAGGGAUAUUCUUCAGAAAAGUCUCGAGAAAGUCAUCUGUCUAAUGACUUUUUAAGAUUUGAGUAGUCCCCGUUCUAGGAAAACUUUGGCUGCAUAAAGCUCUCUUUCGAAGCUUCUACAAUGAUGACACAACAGCUGUUAUGAUGAGAUGUCUAGAUUGAUGUGACUAUUAUCCAAUGUACUGAGUGUUUUUUAAUCUUAAUUUUCUCUUAAGCCGUGUUUUAUUGAGGACAUCAA